CUUCCCAUGUCCUCAUCUUGAUGCCCCCUGUGAAAACACCACAUCUACUAAUGAGGGUAAACGGGCAUAGCAUGUGACCAGCACGUGACCAGCAUGUGACCAGGAGUGUUAACAGUUCUGUGGCAGUUACUCAGAGGCAACUGCAGAAUACAUUUAUUUAGGACACCACACAGCCCUAGGACACACAGAAGACAGAAAUCUUUGAAACCAAAAGGUGCCUGAAUUAAUGGAGCUGACAUGCAGCCAGCAGUAAACGGCAAAGGACCAAUGAAAACAAUCACCGUGUCCCGUGUCAAUUCUGUUUCCAGGCUCUCGUCUAAGCUCUGCCAGGAAUGGACGGAAGGGAGAAAGACAUAGGCCCUCUCAGCUGGCUGGAACAGCAAGCAAAAUGCAUCAGUUGGCAGAAUCCUGCCAAUGUUCCAAGGAAACCUGAAGCGGGUUCCCACCCCCACCCCUCCAUGGAUGCCCGUGGAAGACAGAGCUCCAUGGAACCAUGAUAUUAAGUUGCAGACUCUGCCUGUUCGUAUAGACCAGAGCUUUUCUGUGACAUUACUGUCAAACAGCCCCCUGUGUGACUAAUAUUUUUAACAGCAUGCUAUUUAAAAUUUGACAAGGAUAUAAUAAUUCAUUCUUCAGAUAGUCAACAUACUAUGAGAGUAAGUCAUGUCUUCAAAGUAUCUUUCAAAGGGGCUAUUAAAAGUAGGUUAAAGUUUUCCCCCUACAGCAUGCAAUUUCAUUUUGGCUUUACCACUUCAACCACAUAAAAUUAAAUUUUGACUUGAGAGUGACCUACUGAAAAUUAGAUGGAAAAAUAAGGGGAAAGAUUUAAAUUACUGAUUCAAAGGAAACUAACAUGUCUGUCUGCAAUUUAGCAUACAGUUUGCUGAGCCUUCCGAGAAUCUUGUUUCUGGUAGUCACUAUUUUCCUCUUAGGAUUCAGAUUGUAUUUUUAAUGGAAAUGUUGUAGAACUUAAUGGAAUGUAAUAUCUUGUGAUAUAUAGACUUAAGGCAACACAGGAAAGAAUUAGCCACACAUAUUUUCUGCCAUAAUCCUCCUCUCUACUCCCAGCCUUCUUGUAACCUGUGAUCUAGCCACCCAAAUCAACUAGACAUUCUCUCAAAUAAACUUAUGCUCUCUAAAGCUCUGAUAAAGUUGUUACCUGCU